AAGGUUCGAUUCGAGCGCAGCGAGAAAGCGUUGCCGCAGGCAACGACCCGAAGGGCGAAGCGCGCAGCGCUGAGUCAUCCUUCCCCCACCACCA
rnacentral:sRNA from 16 species